AACCAACUCCCUGAGUGGUGGGAUGAUUAUUGGGCUUAAAGCGUCCGUAGCUGGCCUGGUUAGUCCCGCGUUAAAUCCAGCGACCUAAUCGUUGGGAUGCGUGGGAUACGGUCAGGCUGGGGGGCGGGAGAGGUUAGCGGUACUCCAGGGGUAGGGGUGAAAUCCAAUAAUCCCUGGCGGACCACCAGUGGCGAAGGCUGCUAACCAGAACGCGCUCGACGGUGAGGGACGAAAGCUGGGGGAGCGAACCGGAUUAGAUACCCGGGUAGUCCCAGCUGUAAACGAUGCGGGCUAGCUGUUGGGGUGGCUACGAGCCACUUCAGUGGCGCAGGGAAACCAUAAAGCCCGCCGCCUGGGAAGUAUGAUCGCAAGAUUGAAACUUAAAGGAAUUGGCGGGGAGCACCACAAGGGGUGAAGCUUGCGGUUU
rnacentral:rRNA from 1 species